rnacentral:rRNA from 1 species
GACGAACGCUGGCGGCGUGCUUAACACAUGCAAGUCGAACGAAGUGGCGAACGGGUGAGUAACGCGUAAUCAACCUGCCCUUCAGAGGGGGACAAAAGUUGGAAACGACUGCUAAUACCGCAUACUGCAGGAGGGGAUGGCGUGGGAUUAGCUAGUUGGAGGGGUAACGGCCCACCAAGGCGAUGAUCAGUAGCCGGUCUGAGCGGAUGAACGGCCACAUUGGGACUGAGACACGGCCCAGACUCCUACUGGAGGCAGCAGUUGGGAAUCUUCCUCAAUGGACGAAAGUCUGACGGAGCAACGCCGCGUGAGUGAUGACGGCCUUCGGGUUGUAAAGCUCUGUUAAUCGGGACGCGGUACCGGAAUAGAAAGCCACGGCUAACUACGUGCCAGCAGCCGCGGUAAUUC